rnacentral:rRNA from 1 species
UACGUAGGGCGCAAGCGUUAUCCGGAAUUAUUGGGCGUAAAGAGCUCGUAGGCGGUUUGUCGCGUCUGCCGUGAAAGUCCGGGGCUCAACUCCGGAUCUGCGGUGGGUACGGGCAGACUAGAGUGAUGUAGGGGAGACUGGAAUUCCUGGUGUAGCGGUGAAAUGCGCAGAUAUCAGGAGGAACACCGAUGGCGGAGGCAGGUCUCUGGGCAUUAACUGACGCUGAGGGGCGAAAGCAUGGGGAGCGAACAGG